UCUCUUCUACUCGCACCAUCGAAUCGCUUUUAUCACAAUAAUUUAAUGAAACUUACGUUUCCUUUCUUCGAUCCUCCUCCGAUCGGAAUAUCUUUGAAUAAAAUUAAAUAACGAAUAAAUUAAAUAACGAGAAAGCGAUCAAAUGUUUUUUCUUUCUUUCUUUUCUUUUUCUUUUUUGAAAGUUUAAUUUUAUUCUUAAAAUUAAAUAUUCUUCGUUCAUAGAAAUUUCGAUUUAUCCCUUAUCUCUAAGAUUUAUCUCUAUCCGAUUUCUCAAUAAAAUACCUACUCUAUCUGACAUUACAAAUCUGACAUUAAUGAAUUUAACCAAGAAUCUCCAUUCUUCCUUUCACACCUCGAGCUUCUAUAUUAGAAUUCUCACGAUAUUCAGUUUCCCUGGCAAUUUUCCACGCCAACUUUUCCACCGAUUCACCGAUACGCGGAUAUUAUUUAUUGUUUCUCGGGUUACCUCCUAUCCUAACGUAGGAAUUUCCACGCAGGUAUCUAAAUUGUGAUCGCGUUAGUGUACACGGGGAUAGAAGGAUAACGGAGAUAAGAGAAAUUAUUUACAGCGUGGUAAGGCAGGAUAGAUAGAAGGACGUAUGGGGCGCUAUGGGGUUUGAACUAUAAUUACAAGAGACUUGUGAUAAAUCGGUGACCUUUUCUGAUUUUUCGUCGCUCCUGUUUCCAUUCUCCUGUUUCACGAAACACGUUUUCCUCGAAGGUUAGGGCGUGCUGCUUCUGUUCCUUCCAAUAAGAGAUUGAAACUUGGUGCUGACAAGAAUGAUCGAUAAGUUUCAAGUGAAAUUACACAGUAGUGUUAUUAUAUCGAGCACGAUUGGAUUACUACACGAUCGAUCCGUUUCGAUUUCGUAAGAGAAUCGAUUGAAUUCCUUCAUAACGAAGGAACGAAUAGAAGAAGAAGAAGAAGAAGUUGUUCCAUGUUGUCGUAUUAAUAAAAAUAAUUGGACGUGUGACGUGAACGUGCUGGUUUGAUGAUAAUUAAGUUGACACGUGCUAAUGACGAAUACGUGUAACACACAAGAAGGCAAUGUUUGGAGCGGUUUCAUCGAGAAAGCGGAACGACAAAGUGUUGGAAAUCGCCGACUAUUUUUAGGAUUGUUUUAAGAAAGGAGCCGUUUUCUUUACGGUUGUAGAAUGGAGCACACCUCGGCGGAAAAAAAUAUAUUCAACGUUUGAACAAUAUUUUAAUGCCGGCUGAAGGAAUCGUGGCGCCCAAAUAUCGUUUAUCAAUCCAAUUACCAUCACACGAAUCUAUCUCAAUGGAAAGAGAACGACAGAGGAAGAAAAUGGAGGAACGUAAUAAAUCGUUCUUCUAGUUACGACAGUGAAAAAGGAGAGAGAAAAAAAAAAGAAAAGAAGAAGAAGGAA